AGCGAACGCUGGCGGCAGGCCUAACACAUGCAAGUCGAACGAACCUUUCGGGGUUAGUGGCGGACGGGUGAUUAACACGUGGGGACUUGCCUUUAGGUUCGGAAUAACUCAGGGAAACUUGUGCUAAUACCGAAUGUGCCCUUCGGGGGAAAGAUUUAUCGCCUUUAGAGCGGCCCGCGUCUGAUUAGCUAGUUGGUUGAGGUAAUGGCUCACCAAGGCGACGAUCAGUAGCUGGUCUGAGAGGAUGAUCAGCCACAUUGGGACUGAGACACGGCCCAAAAUCCUACGGGAGGCAGCAGUGGGGAAUCUUGCGCAAUGGGCGAAAGCGUGACGCAGCCAUGCCGGGUGAAUGAUGAAGGUCUUAGGAUUGUAAAAUUCUUUCACCGGGGACGAUAAUGACGGUACCCGGAGAAGAAGCCCCGGCUAACUUCGUG
rnacentral:rRNA from 1 species